GGGGAGACUAGUGACAGAGGGAGGGAAUGGGAGACUAGUGACAGAGUGAGGGAAUGGGUGACUAGUGGCAGAGUGAGGGAGGGAAGUCACCCCACCCCUCUCUCUGUCACUAGUUACUCCCUCCCUAACUCUGUCACUGUGUCACCCGCUCCCUCACUCUGUCACUAAUCACCCCCUCUCUCCCUAGUCACCCCCUUCCUUACUCUGUCACUAGUCACCCCAUCCCUCUCUCUGUCACUAGUCACUCCC